UACGUAGGGUGCAAGCGUUAAUCGGAAUUACUGGGCGUAAAGCGUGCGCAGGCGGUUUUGUAAGUCUGACGUGAAAUCCCCGGGCUUAACCUGGGAAUGGCGUUGGAGACUGCAAGGCUAGAGUUUGGCAGAGGGGGGUAGAAUUCCACGUGUAGCAGUGAAAUGCGUAGAGAUGUGGAGGAACACCGAUGGCGAAGGCAGCCCCCUGGGUCAAGACUGACGCUCAUGCACGAAAGCGUGGGGAGCAAACAGG
rnacentral:rRNA from 1 species